CCCUUACAAAAAAAGCAGAAGGGAAUUUCGAGUGGUUAUAUCACAAUAUUAUAUUUGAUCUCCAAAAUUUAAAAUCGGAGCAAAAAAGAAGAAAAGCAAAAGACCAAAAUUUCAUGGCUCGUCUUCAAUAACUGUAGCCAAACCCGUCACGAUCUUAACCCCAAUCUGAAAACUUUUGGGCUUAAUCUCAGGUGGUUUCCAUUCUCGCAUCACCGUCUCGUUCUCUUCUUCCUCGGAACUUUCAGAUGACAAAGCAAAGACAGACUCGCCCAACUCAGUAUCCUCCAACGAGUUCUCCUCUUUGCCGCUCGGUGGAAAAUUGUUGAUCCCUUUUGGAACCAAAGUUUGCUCCUU
rnacentral:misc_RNA from 1 species